CCUACGGGGGGCAGCGGUGAGGAAUAUUGGUCAAUGGCCGGAAGGCUGAACCAGCCAAGCCGCGUGAAGGACGAAGGUGCCAAGCAUUGUAAACUUCUUUUGUCAAGGGACAAAAUCAGGCUCGAGAGCCUGACCGAGGGUACUUGAAGAAAAAGCAUCGGCAAACUCCGUGCCAGCAGCCGCGGUAAUACGGAGGAGGCGAGCGUUAUCCGGAUUGAUUGGGUUAAAAGGUGGGGUAGGCGGACUGUUAAGUUCGUGGUAAAAGCCCGGGGCUCAACCCCGGCGAGCCGUUGAAACUGGCUGUCUUGAGAUGUCGAGAGGUAUGCGGAAUGCGCGGUGUAGCGGUGAAAUGCUUAGAUAUUGCGCAGAACUCCGAUUGCGAAGGCAGCAUACCGGCGGCGAUCUGACGCUGAGGCACGAAAGCGUGGGUAUCGAACAGGAUUAGAUACCCGAGUAGUC
rnacentral:rRNA from 1 species